GGAAAUCGUAUAGUGGUUAGUACAACACGUUGUGACCGUGUAAACCUGAGUUCGAUUCUCAGUUUCCGC
rnacentral:tRNA from 15 species